UACGUAGGGACCAAGCGUUGUUCGGAUUUACUGGGCGUAAAGGGCGCGUAGGCGGCAAUUCAAGUCAUCUGUGAAAUCUCCGGGCUUAACUCGGAACGGUCAGAUGAUACUGCUUUGCUAGAGUGCAGAAGGGGCAAUCGGAAUUCUUGGUGUAGCGGUGAAAUGUGUAGAGAUCCGGAGGAACACCAGUGGUGCAAACGGCGCCCUGGGUCCG
rnacentral:rRNA from 1 species